CUACACCCAAUGUGGGACUCAGACUCACAGCUCUGAGGUAACGAAUUGCCUGCUCUGCAAACUGCACCAGCCAGAUGCUCCUGUCUGUAGAACUUCUGAUGUGGAAAGGGCAUUACAGAUUGUAGAGACCCCAGAUGUGGAGACUGAGGCCCAGAGAGGAGAAGGGACUCACUUCUGUCGUGGGCUCCUGGGGGCGCGUGGUGAACUACGGGCCGCUGCCCUGGACACGCCUGCCGCAGGCCCAGUGCUGCUGCUCCAGCCCAGGCGGCAGGGAGGAGCCGGUGUGCCCUGAGGCCGUGGCUCCCCUCGGGGGGCCUCAGGUGUGCAGUCUGCAGUGGGGACCUCGCUGCCAUCGUGGAAGGCUCCCGUGGGCGGCUGCAGGGCAGGACACGAAGAGGCGCACAGAGGGGACAGGAGAGGCGCUCCAGGACGUCGCUCCUCCUCCCUGGACAUUGUCUCUGCCACACCUCUGCCCCAGCUGUGCCCCCUGCCUGAAGCACCUUUCAUGCGCAUCUCUGCCACUCCAGCUCACCGGAGACUGCGGCCUCCUCCAGGAAGUCUUCUCGGAUUCCCUCCUCACCAGCCAGUGAGCACUGUGUCCUCCAUGGGGCCCCUCCGAGGCCCGUGUACUGUGAAGAGCCCGGCACGGGGGCGGCCAGUUACUGAUGAGAUCUCAAAUGACUCCAGGCGGAGACGGGGACCCCAGCCCUCUCCCACAGCCCCAGCACUGCGCCCACGCCCCUGGCGGUGUCCUCCUUCCCCUAAAUCCCACUGCCUCGUCCCCUACACGGGGCCUCCCUGUUGGGCCUGAAGGGCUCUGGUUGGAGGGGUGGAGCUGGGCCGGGGGCUGGGCCGGUGGACCCACGAGGCACAGGCGGUGAUCAGGGGGCGUUCCAGGCCCUGUGUCGGGACAGGACCCUCUGGGGAGAAGGCCGGGCCGCGUCAUGUGUUCCCGGGUUCUCUGUGCAGAUGCCUGAGGGGCCACGCGCCCCGGGCGCCGGGGUGGGUGCUGGGGGGGCCCGGAAGCGUGCCCGCCAUGGAGCCAGGCCUGUCUGGCUCUGCUCACCUGCUCUGAAGGUGCAGGGGAGGGCGGGGGUGACCCAGGUUUCACCUGCCCCUCCGACCCCCACGCGUCCAGUCCAAGCCCGGGCACCUCGAUGCCCCACGGCCUGGCCCCCAGCCCAGCCAGACCCCCGCUCCUGCCUCGCUUGGGUGUGCCGGUCACUGAGCCACACUCACCUGCCUGGCAGGUGCCCGGGGACGCCCCACAGGGCCUGGCAGGGAGGGGGGCUUCCGGUGGCCGCCCAGCUCUGCUCCUCAGCCCCACUACGUGCCCCGGUCUGGGCCCGCCCUUGCCCGGCCGUGACUCACUGCAGACCCUAGCUGCCACGGGCUGGCGGCUGCGAGUAUGGCCCACUUCACAGGCCCGGGUCCAAGGUCACCGUUCCCGGGGCGGCUGCCCCAGCAGCCCCCGAACUGCGGGGUCCCUGCCCACGCCGAGUCCCUGCUUCUUGACUGAAGGGGUAGGGGGUGGGGGGGGAGCAUUUCAGGCCAUUUUUGACAUUUAACAAACACUAUGCAAAUCACAUGCAAAUUACCACCCAUUUCUUAAGCCUCGACAGCCCAGGCGUGUUCUGAAAUAGUAAUGGCGGACCUGUCCGCCGCCUGGAGGAGGGGUUCACAGCCUCUCCCCCCCCCCCCGGUGCCUGCCUUCCUGCCCUCCUUCCCUCUUUCCUUCCUUUCUUCCUUCCCUCCUUCUUUCCUUCCUUCCCUUCUCCCCCUUCUCCCCCUCCUUCCCUUUCCUCCUGUUACACUUUUGUCCCCCGUCUGUGGGAGGCCCCCAGUCCCAAGGUGAACACGAAGAACAAAAGCAGCUCCGGCGUUCCCGGUUUCCAGGUGGGGAAACAGCUCCGGGGAGGCACAAGCCUGGCCUGGGGUCCCAGAGCCACAGGCAGGAAGUGGUGCCCCCAUCGCGGGCCGUCAUGGACUAACAUGGACAGAGCCUGCGACCCAAGAGGGAGGGAGGACGGUGGCUGCAGCCGUGGGGACCCCGAGGAGGCUCCGGGCCUGGCAGGGCUUGGCAGCGCCCAGGGAAACCAUCCUGGGGAUUUUUGGCCUUGAGUGGCAGGCCACCGCGACCGUGGACCUGGAGAAACCUGACAUGGCUGAUUCUACCCCUCCAGCCCUCCUUUCUCCUGCUACCCCCAGUCCGCACACCCUAUCGGCUCUGUUUGGCAAACUCCUAUUCACCCUGCAAGGCCCAGCGACAAUGCCCCCUUGUCCACGCAGUCGUUUCUGAUCCUCCGAGAAGGGCCUCCACUUCCCUCUGGGCUUCUGUUACCCCGGGUCUCUCUUUGGUCCAGCCCUGACUCCGUGAGGCCUGCAGGGUCACCGCCCGCUCGGGCUCCGUUCUGGCACCUGCCUGGGAAUGACAGACCUCCAGACCUCUGCACGUGCACGUUCUCUACCCAGAAUGCCCUUUCGCGUCUAUUCCACCUGGUGCAUGCCUACAUUUUCAGGGUCCUAGCACGAACGCCCCACCUCUGCGUGGGCUCCGCUGGGCUCCCGGUCAGCCUCUGAUCCCACUGGGAUCGGCUCGAUGCACGGCAGGAGGGGGUGCGUGCCCCCCCCCAACGCAUCAUGCCUGGGGCCCCAGGCUCACGUCACCGGGUCAGGAGCGGGAAAGGAGGGCCGUCUUUGUGUGCGUAGGAAUAAAAGAAGUGAAAACAAAGUUAA